GCCUUCGUGGUGUAAUGGUCAGAACAUUCUGCGCGUAUUCGAGAGGUCCGAGGUUCGAGUCCUGGCGAGGGCA
rnacentral:tRNA from 1 species